AUGUCAUCUUUUCCAAAAAAAGAAUCAGGUGAAGAAAAGGCCAUGGAAUUUCGCCAUGUUCCAUCUUCCAUGAUGAUGAUGAUGAUGAUGCCGAAAACGAAAGGCCAAGUCGGCCUGCUUGGUUGCUGGAAUUAUUGUGGCUAUCCUAUCCAGCCACCGGAAUCUGCACGACAGCAACGGGCAUCCGGUUCUGUGGAGGGCGAGCAGAUGCAGCUCCGAUAUGCGAUCUCCGAUCGAUCGAUGUCGCGGUGCACCGCGACGCCUGCUGAUGGGUGGAGAGAAAGCCAGAAGCGAAGACCAAGCCAGGCCAGAACCAUGAAACAGGCAUAG
rnacentral:rRNA from 1 species